AUCCUUAUGCCAAGCUGGAGGCUGUUUAGUACGAGUAGAACGUCGAAGUGGAGCUGAUGUAUCAGGUGGGAUAGGAUUGGAAUUAGUGGGCGAAUCUGGAGAAGGUGGAGGAGACGACGGAGUAGUAGGUGAAGGAAUAGGAGGUGGAGGAUGGAUGUUUGAGUAGGAUGGAUCAUGAAGUGGUACAACAGGAGUCGAAG